ACCCUCUCAGGGUGGCACCUGGAGAGUUUCCAGUAUUUUACUAGUAUUGACUACAGGAGGGAGAGUCAAGCAGAGGCAUACCCAUUCCAUUUCUAGCUUGGGCAGUGGCUAGUGAGUGGAAAGCAAUCUGCUACAAGU